rnacentral:tRNA from 1 species
GUCGGGGUAUUCUAUUUAGGAUCCCGGGCUUAUGCCCCGGAGGUGGCGGGUUUGUACCCUCCCCCGGCG